rnacentral:rRNA from 1 species
GACGAACGCUGGCGGCGUGCUUAACACAUGCAAGUCGAACGGAAAGGCCCUGCUUUUGUGGGGUGCUCGAGUGGCGAACGGGUGAGUAACACGUGAGUAACCUGCCCUUGACUUUGGGAUAACUUCAGGAAGCUGGGGCUAAUACCGGAUAGGAGCUCCUGCUGCAUGGUGGGGGUUGGAAAGUUUCGGCGGUUGGGGAUGGACUCGCGGCUUAUCAGCUUGUUGGUGGGGUAGUGGCUUACCAAGGCUUUGACGGGUAGCCGGCCUGAGAGGGUGACCGGCCACAUUGGGACUGAGAUACGGCCCAGACUCCUACGGGAGGCAGCAGUGGGGAAUAUUGCACAAUGGGCGGAAGCCUGAUGCAGCAACGCCGCGUGCGGGAUGACGGCCUUCGGGUUGUAAACCGCUUUCGCCUGUGACGAAGCGUGAGUGACGGUAAUGGGUAAAGAAGCAACGGCUAACUACGUG